GGAAAAGAAAGAAACUGUUCUCCUUUCUUUUCCCUGUAUGCAGGGUAAUUGAUAGGCUCUAUCAGAGGUCAGGAUUUGCAUAAGAAUUAAGAGCAGUAAAUUAAUUUAAUAUUCCAUGCACAUCUCCAAUUAUUCCUGCAGACCUUUGUCUCCACGGCUGGCAGAGAGAAGGUUCAGCUGCUCUUCAACCAAACAACAUCUGUGCAGUUAAUAAUUUGAUAAACAGCUCAUACAAAUAGUUUCUGAAUUAUCUGCCAACCCAAUGACUAUUCAGUUCUGAAACACUUGGCAAGGUCUGCUACGUGCGUGCCGAGCUGCGGAGCCUUGUUCCCGUGAUUUAGCUGCCUGGACUGCCUUUAGCUGCUGGGUUCUCCUCCUUAUCUUGUACAUAUAGUCAGCUACUUUCAGCAAAAAGCCACCAAUAACAGCGUGUAAAAUAAGUCACUACCAGUAAUUAAUAACAGUGCCCCCACCCCCCUCAUUUCAGGCACCACUCAGUGGCUCCCACCUGGCAUUUAUGGGAACGUCAGGAGGUGUUCUGUGCCCUCAUCUGCAACCCUGCUGCAAGCAACAACCACUGGAAGGGCACAAGCCGUGUGACUCCAGCGUGGUUUCAGCAAUAGGCAAUAUUUGCUUUGCAGAGUAGCGCCGCCCGUAAUGAAAUGUGAUUGCCUGGCCGCCAAAAGAUUACUGAAGUAAUCGGCGAGUGACUUCAGAGCUGCUUGAUUUUAAACACUUCUGAAAAGCCAGCUCCAUUUUCUGCUUUGGUGAAUAACAAUUCCCCGCUCCGGCAUAUUAGAAUAAAUCAGCUCGGCUGGUACUGCAUUGUUAUAAAGUUCCCAACUAUUAUAAAAUAGUUUCUAUCAGAGCUGUUUUCUUCGCGGCCAGUCAAGUGGAAUGAUCCCUGAAAGCAGCAGUUUGUGGCAGAAAUGUGCUCGCUGUUCUCCCUCCGCGCCUCAGCACCGCCGUAAAUCUCUGAUUGCCCACACGCACGCAGCGGGCAACCUGGGGGACCCCGCAAAGAGAGCAGGGCUUUCAUGGGCUGGGAAGGGAAGGAGCAGCUGGAAACCCAGGGAAGGGAGGAAAAAAUCAGUAUAAGGGAAUGAAGAAAGCAGAACCCUCCUGUGGGCACUCCUUGGCCAUGCAGGCCAGUGAGACAUCCCCUUCACACCUGAUCCCUGGGGUUUCCCCCAUCCCAACGGCCCCCUGGCUUAAGGGACAGGGCUUGCACUCCUAGUUCCCAGGACAGCACAGGGCAGCAUGGGGGCUGUAGGGCUGUGGGUUGCUUGAGCAUUGUGGCCAUCCACCCCAGUCCACAGCCAUUCACAGCCCCAUCCAUAGCCAUCCGUUCCCGUCCAUGGCCAUCCACCCUCAUCCAUGGCCAUCCACACUCAUUCAUAGCCAUCCAUCCCCAUCCAUGGCUAUCCACACUCAUUCAUGGCCAUACACACCCAUGCACGGCCAUUCAACCCCCAUCCAUAACAUUCCACCCAUGUCCAUAGCCAUUCACCACCAUCCUUGGCCAUCCACCCCUGUCCAUGGUGAUCCACCCCCAGCCAUGGCCAUCCACCCCCACCCAUGGCCAUCGAUCCCAUCUAUUGCUACCCACCCUUGUCCAUAACCAUCCACCCCUGUUCAUGGCCAUUCACUCCUGGUCCAUAUGGGAAGAAAAGAAUGUCUUAAAGGAAAGCAGCUCAAACCUAACCCCAAGAGCAUGGCGUUCACCCAGAUCACCUUGGAAAAAAAACAUCAGAAACAAUGGCACGCAUUCAUCCCGUGUCCUUUAUCAUUUAAAUCACCUGGCCUUCAUUAGCUUGUGAUGGAUCGCCUUCAAAUUGCCCAAAUGGAGGUUUGUUUGUUUUCCCUGUGUAGCUGCAUUGAUUUUUCCCCUCAUUUUUGUAACGGGGAUUUUCAGAACACACCACUCUGGUGCAGCAGAGCCCGAGCGAGCCAAAGGGCUGCAAUUGGGCUGGAUUCAUGGCUUCUGCAAGAACCAGUCAGCUGCAACAAUAAAGGCCAACAGUCCUCCUGGGGGGGUGCACGUGUCCCCUGACAGGCUAGAUGGCACCUGCCCAGGGGUUGCCCUGUAGGCUUUUCCCUGCCAGGCUGGGUUUGUGUUUGGGCACAACCCUCAGCCUGUGUCUGUACAGGAGCAAGCUGAAACCCCAGAGCUGGAAUGCAGUGAUUUAGCUUUAUUUUUUUCCCUUGAAGGAGAAAGCCUUAUUUCGGAAAGGGAGCUGCUAUUGGCUAAAAUAAAUCAUAAUCGCAAUUAAACAAAAAAUAAUCACUUUUCACAUGGAAAGCAGGCUCUAAGGGUGCGUGCUCUCCAGCUGUGUGCAGGGCUGGUAACGAGCUGGGCUUAACGAGGCGGGCAGUGCACGGCAGGCGGGAGGGCACGGAGGCCCGGCUCUGUGCGGGCUGACGGCCGGAGCCUUGUUUGUGAGUAUUUAAUGUUUCUUAGGAAGCACUUCUAAAAGAAAUUGGUAUGUAAUGACAGCACUCGCUGGAAAACAGGCCGAUUAUAAAAUGCACUAACUUAUCUGGUAUUCAUUUGAAAAGUAAAUGGAUGCAAGUAAAGGUGAGAGUUCACUACCAAUUCAAAUAUUUUGCUUUAACAGGCUCUAGCACUCCUAUUUUAAUUCAAGCAGAAGCACAAGUAUGAAUAAUCAAACUGGAUGAUGCUCAUCAAAACCUUUGUGCCUUGCACCAUUUCAAAUGGUCAUUGAAGCUUAAUGGCAAAAAAUUUACAUUAUUCCUUUAAUUUGUAUUCUGUUCCUUCCUUCUGAGUGAUGUGAUUGUGAUUUUCUGUUGCCGGCUGUAUUAUUUUGAUGCAAAUGUUAUGUGCUGCUACAGUUCAAUUUCCUGCUUGCCCCCCCUCGCCGUGCCCCCCGUUCCUUCCCCCCAGUAAAGAAAUAGUUCAAAACUGGGGAGGGAUUUCAAAAUAGUUCCUUAACUACUGCUCCUAAUUAAAGCAAACAAUGCAGGGUCUUGAAGCACGCAGAAAAGCUGAACAUUAAUUAUUAGCUGAAGGGGGAGGGAAACGGCUUUGCUCCCUGCACUGUCGGGGAAAAAAAAAAAAAAAGAAAGAAAGAAAGAAAAAAAGAAAAAGUGAGGAAAAAAAGUUGAGGGAACCCAGUUCUGCCCGUAACAGAAUUAGUGAAGGGAAUCCGUAAUGCAGCUGAAAACUCCUUUUGGUGGCACGCAGUCACCUGGGGAUACACGCCUGAUGGAGAGGCAUGGGGCUGCACACCGAAGCCUUGCGAGCAGGCGGCCCCCGGGGUGCUGGCAGCACGUAAUGUAUGCACCGCCUAAUUUAUGGCGCUGUGACUAAUUUCCAUUCCUUGUGCUUAGAGUUGCCUGGCUAAUUACAGGGAUGUUUUCUUAACUCGGGUAAUUGCGCUGCCCGCGCGCCGCCCCCACGCGUGCCCCAUGCGGGCUUUGAUGCGGCCCCACGGGGCGGCUGCGGCGGGGUGCCACCUUAAUUAGGCCGCCAGCCUUAAUGAGGGGACGCGUGGGGCUUCGUGUCCCCGCGCGUGGGCUCCGCAUCCCUGUGUCCCGGGGGGCCCAGUGGAGCAUCCCUGAACCCCGGCAUUGCCCCCAGCACACCCCCACUGCACAGGUAGCGGUUAUGCUAUGGGCAUCCCCAAAAUCUUGGCAGUAGGGAUGCCCUGGCCACGCGUCUCCAAGCUCACCGCCGUGCUCUGCCCGCGUUUUAUAGGUUGGAGCCGCUCAUGCAUUUAAAAUUAUUAGACAGAUAAUCACUUCCUUGAAAUAAUUUCAGCACUCAUCUAUAAUAAAAAAGAUUUCUUUCAAAGGACCCUUAGUUAAAUGGGCUCAGUGCUACUUUCUGUAUCACGCAGGUCAAUUUGAUUCUGCUCUAUACUCUCUAUACAGCUAAACAAUUGCUUUUCAUAAACUGAAGAGCGCGGUGAAAGCAGCCUGUAAUAUCCAUCCAGCGAUGGCCUUGAACACUUUCAUUAAUAAAAGCUUGACAUCUGAAAUUCUGCUUCUUUAUUCCUCCCUUAUCAAAGACUUGGUCAAGAUUCCAGAAAAUUAAUGUCGCAUUAAGAAGCGCUGAUGGCCCACAGCGGUGCCGCUGCGGGGCUCCCUGUGCUGCCCCAUGGGAGGAUGACCUGGGGGGCUCUGAGCUUUGGGAUGGGCACUGAGGAUGAGGGCACUGAGGAGGCGAGGAGCCCAGGAGCACCUUCUUCUCCUGCAUCCUUCACCCAG
ensembl:lncRNA